rnacentral:rRNA from 1 species
UACAGAGGGUGCAAGCGUUAAUCGGAAUUACUGGGCGUAAAGCGUGCGUAGACGGUUAUGUAAGUCGGGUGUGAAAGCCCCGGGCUCAACCUGGGAAUGCCAUUCGAGACUGCAUAGCUAGGGUGCGGAAGAGGGAAGCGGAAUUUCAGGUGUAGCGGUGAAAUGCGUAGAUAUCUGGAGGAACACCGGUGGCGAAGGCGGCAUCCUGGACCAACACUGACACUGAGGAGCGAAAGCCAGGGGAGCAAACGGG